rnacentral:rRNA from 1 species
GAUGCACGCUAGCUACAGGCUUAACACAUGCAAGUCGAGGGACCGGCGCCCGGGUGAGUAACACGUAUCCAACAUGCCCUUUACUCGGGGAUAGCCUUUCGAACGAAAGAUUAAUACCCGAUGUCCAGGAUGGGGAUGCGUUCCAUUAGGUUGUUGGUGGGGUAACGGCGCACCAAGCCUUCGAUGGAUAGGGGUUCUUAGAGGAAGGUCCACCACAUUGGAACUGAGACACGGUCCAAACUGCUACGGGAGGCAGCAGUGAUGAAUAUUGGUCAAUGGGCGUUAGCCUGAACCAGCCAAGUAGCGUGAAGGAUGAAGGCUUAUGGGUCGUAAACUUCUUUUAUAUAAGAAUAUGUAGUAUAUGAAUAAGGAGCGGCUAACUCCGUGCCAGCAGCCGCGGUAAUAC